UAGCAAUCAUCUGUUGCGUUUGUUUUGAUCUAAUCCUUACUAUCUGCACUGAUCGCUUGCUCAUCUGUUGUCGCCCACGCUGGCUGAUUAUAAUAUUUUUUAAUUUGAUCUACAUUCACUAUGUGUUCUUUACUGCCAUCUAGAGAUUUGACUUUGAAUGCAUUUUUGCUCACCUUCGCAAUAAUUUUGUACACUAUUGGUUCUCUGCUCGGCGCGAGACUUGCUGCAAUCUUUUUGUCUGCUUUGGAAAGUUCAACAUCGAAUAUUCUUGGAAGUUCUCUGCCCAAAUGGAGAGCGUUUGGUGAAAAACCAGAGGAUUUGUUCGGAGCUUGCCUGUAUGCGGACAUGAACAUUGAAAGCCUUGUUGGUUUGUGGUCGGUAUGGAAGGUUCCGCACACGUUUUAUUCCCAACUUUUUGCACGCUCCGUUCCUUGCUACGAAGUCCAGAAGUCUUUCAAUCACCACAUUGGACGUGCUCGUUCGAAUUGGGUACGCUUCUGCCCACAGUGAAAAACCAUCAACUAGCACAAAUAUAAACUUGUUGCUUGAGCUGCUUGUUGGAGGUUUGUCUGCUUUUGACUCUCGCAACUUAGUUUGUUCCCGCAAGAGUUUUUCUGCUUUGCGAUGAGCUUGGAGCUCCUUUCUACUCUUGUGCGUGCAACGGCCACAUUGAUGCAUCGGCUCUUUAUCUGGUUCAGGAUCAAACUCAGCUUUUACUGGUUGAAAUUCCUCACAUGAGGUGCCCGAGAAAGUGCGUCUGCAAUCUUGUUAUCAACCCCUUUUCUAUACGUGAAUAUGAUGGGAAGCGGGGACAACUUCAUCACCCACCUCCUCAAUCUGCCUGGUGGUUCAGGAUGGUUGAAAAUAUGCUUUAUUGCUGUAUGGUCCGUUUGCACCUCAAUUUUGACGGCGUGAUCUCACUGCUACAAAAAUGCUGCUCGCUUGCUGCGCAAGCCCUACUUGCAAAAGCCACUGGCCUCAAUUUUCCAUCCAUUUCUUGCAUUAAACAAGCGCCGACACCAGCUUUGGAGCCAUCGGUCAUCAAGACAAAUUUUUUAUCCAUAUCUGAAUUUUGCGCAUCGACGAAUUCAUGGGUCGCAUUGGUGCUUGAUAUGGUGGACCUGGUGCAACUUCAAUGACUUGUUCAACGCCUUUCGCCAAUCCAGCCUUCAUUGAGAAUAAUCCCAAUUUAUGAUAUUUCCUAAUUACAGCUUCAAUAACUCCAUUCUCAUCAUGUUCAAUCUUUUUCAGUAACAUUUUCAAGAUUGUAUCCUGAUCCAUGACCUCUGCCUUGGUACAAGUUUCUGUCUGAGCUUUCGGAGGCUCUUCGUAUUUUCGACGAAUUUUCGGUCUGGUGCUGUGGAACCAUCCAUUGAAGUGUGAUUUUGCUCGGGAGAGAGCACCCUGCUGUGACCUACUUGGUGACUUUGACUGCGCUCUCUUUGUUUCCCCCGACUUGCCUUUGAAUUUGUCUCUACGAUCAUAAUCUGUUCUUGAGUGAGCACUCGGAGGUCUGUCCAGCAUGUCGUACCAAGACGAACUACCUGAACGAUCAUCUCCUUGUUCUCCACACUCUGACUGUUCUAACUCCAUUGAGACACGCGACAUUCUUCGACUUCUGCCAGCCACUUCACUGUUGUGCUGUACCUGACGUUGUGUUUGUGAGCCUUGCAAGAAAGAUCUUUGACCACCUGAAUCAUCGACUACUUUUUUCUUUGUGCCUGUUUCUGAUCUACUUUGUUGUCUUUCCCAAGCAUGUAAAUCUGCCUCUGUAAUUCCACUCUGUCUACUUUUGCUUUUUAAAUCUCUUUCCUUUAUUUUCUCCAUAAUCAAAUUUUGCUGUCUUGCUACUGUUUCUCUAAUCAGAACUAACAUUUGCCUUUGUUGCUCACAACCAGGUUCUAAUGAAUGAGCUAUAUCUAACUGACCUUUAGCCCAAUCUCUUAACUCAAACAACUCUUUUUCAAAACUCUGAUAUGAAUCAUUUGCAUGUGCUAGUUUUUCUCCUCCUGCUGCUCCUUGUAAAUUGUUGCUGUACUGCUGCUGAAUUUGAUGUUGCUGUUGCUGAAUCUGCUGUUGUUGUUCUCUGUAUUUUUCUACCUUUUCGGCAUCGGACAACUCCUGCCUUAAAUUAACACCAGAUUGUUGAUCUCGAGAGCUUGACUUUUCUCUCUCACUAAAUUCCAUGCUUUCAACCAUGCUUAGUAUAUCUUGUGUCUCAUCUACUAUUUCUACUUGAGUGAUUUUGUCCGGAGACUGAAUUGAGUCCCAGUCCUUCAGUAAACUAUCUGCCCUUGUAGCAUUAUUCUCUCUAACUGUAUUCAAUUUCUUUUGUAGCUCAAAAUGCAAUUUAUCCUGUUUGACUUGUCUACUAAUCUCUUGUAUUUGCAUUUGUUUUUCAGAUUUUGUUGCUUCUUUCUUAUUAAAAAAUCCUAACCAAAACUCUGUUUCUUUCUCAGUUAGUUUUUCCCAGUGAAUGUCUUUUGCCUGAAUUAGAUUUAAACUUUUAUUUAUCAACUGGGUCUGUCCAUCUGUUUGUUCCGGACUGUGUUGUGCUGUGCUCGCCGCCAAAGGGAGACCCGGAAGCUCACCUGUGACUCUCUCUUUACUUUGCCAAUUCGCCAUACCUGCGAAAGGUUGGGAACUCGAGUAAGGUACAAAAUGCUGCGAGAGACGUGCUGCGUCUCCGCCUUGCAACAAAUUUUCCUGACUACUGAACAGCAUCAAAUCAUUCCUAGCCGUCAAAGUUGCCUCAAGGUCACCGGAGUAACCCUGAGUUCCUUGCUGUACUCGGAUAGCUUCGUCCUGAUAACCGGGUGCUUCUUGUUGCUGACCUCGGCCGCGGCCAACAUCAAGCGACCCUUUUGAUCUGUUAAAGCGGGUUGUUUGUGGGUUCAUUUUUAUUCAAGGUCAUAAAACAAAAUUGAAAAAAUUUUUUACUCUGCCAUCUUGAUUUUCAUCUCUAUUAUUAUUUUGUGCCAAAUGGCAUUAACCUUGCCCUCAGACCAGCGUUCAGGCCCCCAAUUGCGGUAUUCUUUUAGUCCCAGAGGAUGGGAAUAUCCUCUGAGGGUACCGACCUUUACUCGGGACUGGCGUUACACCUGCUAGGGGACAGGUAGUGUCAAUAGCCAGCCUGAAAGUGAUACCGCUUGGUCUUUGAUGUCGGGUUCUACAGGUCAAUGAUUCGCAUAAGGCUUGAUUUCAUAUUUCUCUUUUCCGUAAAUUACCUCUCUUAAUAACUACCCUAUUAACACUUACGGCUACCUCGGUCUGUUGCCGAUUAGCCCCCCACUGAAUAUUCCAACCCUCAAGUCUUAUACUGUUAAUUUAUCAACCCCGAAGGACACGGCGUAAAAUAAUACUCAGUGCUUGAACGGUUUGGGAGAUACUAAUCUCUCUGCUUUAUUAAUAUCAAGGAGAUACGAUUUACAUAGGGUGACAUCUAGUGGAAAUAUAUACACAUAUAUCAACUGUCCCCGCAAAAUAAAUUGGAGAGGAGCUUUUUGUCUCUACCAUCAAUGGAAUUCAUGGAAUUUUAAAAUCUGGAUUCACAUAUUUGCUGAUGUAAUCAGUUAGUUCUGUUAUAGAUUAAUUAUAUCAAGUAAUAUCAAAUCAUUUUAAUUUAACUUACAUCAACGCAUAUAUUUGUGUGAGUUAUAUUUUAAAAUAAAAAAGUUGAGUAUAAAGCAACUUACAUCAAUACAAUUCAAUUUUAUUGUUGUUCUGUUAAACAACAAUAUUAACAGUAGUCUUUAGAAAAUGUCAGGUCUAAAAUUAAAAUUUAGAGAAUAAAACCCCUUGCUUAGGGCAAAGGGAAAAAUUCAAUAAAAUUGCAAACAAAAAAAGUGACGUAUAGACACAUUACUCAGUUUUAUUUUUAGAGACUUUACAGUUAUGACAAGACUGUAACUGAACUAACUGUUGACUCACAUCUGCACUUGCACCCAUACGCAUCUUCAUUAGGAGAAGCAUUCAUUCAAAUUAAUGCUACUCAGCGCUGCAUGCAGUCACGUCUUGAUAUUUCAUAAAACUAACAAAUUUAUUUAUAUAAUAUAUGGAUUUAUUUAAAUUAAAAGAAAAACAUCUGGCAAAAGGCAAAAGUAAUAAAACUCAAUUGUAUAAAUUUAAAUAUUGAAGAAUUGUACUCUGAUGAGGUAUUUUCAAUAAACUAUAUAAUAAAACUCAAUAUAAUAAAUACAUAAAUACAUAAAUUUUACUCCGAAUUUGAGUUUCUUGAUUAUUUAAAGAAUUUGUAAAUAUGUUUCUUUCUUUCGAUCAUUCUAUUUUUCAUUUGACCCGGUUGUAAAUAAGUGGAUUACGACGGAGAUAUAAUAUGUAAUAUCAC